UGUAAGUGCUAUGAGGCAUUGAUCUAACUGAUACUAAUUGCCCGUUAAGCUUAACCAUACAACACCCAAGGGGUUU
rnacentral:rRNA from 1 species